UACGAAGGGGGCGAGCGUUGUUCGGAAUUACUGGGCGUAAAGGGCGCGUAGGCGGCCCCUUUUGUCGCGUGUGAAAGCCCCGGGCUCAACCUGGGAGGUGCGCGCGAAACGGGGGGGCUUGAGUUCGGGAGAGGAGCGUAGAAUUCCCAGUGUAGAGGUGAAAUUCGUAGAUAUUGGGAAGAACACCGGUGGCGAAGGCGGCGCUCUGGACCGAGACUGACGCUGAGGCGCGAAAGCGUGGGGAGCAAACAGG
rnacentral:rRNA from 1 species